rnacentral:lncRNA from 1 species
GGGGAACCAGCGCUGGAGUUUUCACGACGCCUGCAGCGCCGCCCUGGCGGUCAGAAGGUGCACAAUGCAGCCGCUCCCGCGGACGAAAAUUGCUACUGGUAGUGGCGUUGCGUGCCCUGAAAGACGAAGGAAAACAAAAGGACGCCGACGAUGCUGUUGCGUAUACAAGUGCCACAACUACGUCGGGAUGAGGGAGGAUGUAUCCUUCUCCGUCUUUCCAUCUAAACCCUACGAACAAGAACGGAGGCGGCGUUGGAUCCAAGCAGUCAGGCGAGCGGAUGAAGACGGUCAGCCGUGGCAGACAGUACCAAACAGCAGAAUCUGCAGUCGGCAUUUCGUCGGAAACAAAAUGAGCAAUAG